rnacentral:misc_RNA from 1 species
GAUGAAGAACGUAUCGAAAUGCGAUAAGUAAUGUGAAUUGCAGAAUUCAGUGAAUCAUCGAAUCUUUGAACGCACAUUGCGCCCCUUGGUAUUCCGAGGGGCAUGCCUGUUCGAGCGUCAUUAUAACCCCUCAAGCUCAGCUUGGUGUUGGGGCCUGCUGCACUGGCAGCCCUUAAAAUCAGUGGCGGCGCCAUCUGGCUCUAAGCGUAGUAAUUCUUCUCGCUAUGGAGUCCUGGUGGAUGCUUGCCAUCAACCCCCAAUUUUUCUAUGGUUGACCUCGGAUCAGGUAGGGAUACCCGCUGAACUUAAGCAUAUCAAUAAGCGGAGGA